CCUGUCCAACGUUAAUCGGGGGAGGGUGAGUCGACCCCUAAGGUGAGGGCGAACGGCGUAGUCGAUGGGAAACUGGUUAAUAUUCCUGUACUUGGUGUUACUGCGAAGGGGGGACGGAGAAGGCUCUGUUAGCCGGGCGACGGUUGUCACGUUUUUAGCAUGUAGGCUGGUUAUCCAGGCAAAUCCUGAUAAUCAAGGCUGAGGUGUGAUGACGAGGCACUUCGGUGCUGAAGUAACAAAUGCCCUGUUUCCAUGAAAAGCCUCUAAGCAUCAGGUAACAUCAAAUCGUACCCCAAUCCGACACAGAUGGUCAGGUAGAGAAUACCAAGGCGCUUGUUAGACCUCGGGUUAAGGAACUAGUGAAAAUGGAGCGGUCACUUCGGGAAAAGGCACGAAGGUGGGUGCGUGAAGUCCAAGCGGAUGGAGCUGA
rnacentral:rRNA from 1 species